rnacentral:tRNA from 1 species
GAGGGUAUAUACUCAGUGGUAGAGUGUGUGCUUAGCAUGCAUAAGGUCCUGGGUUCAAUUCCCAGGACCUUCA